GUGCCAGCAGCCGCGGUAAGACGAACCGUGCGAACGUUAUUCGGAAUCAUUGGGCUUAAAGGGCGCGUAGGCGGCGGCGUAAGUUGGAAGUGAAAUCCCAUCGGCUCAACCGUGGAAUCGCUCCCAGUACUGCGUCGCUCGAGGGGGAUAGGGGUCUGCGGAACUACCGGUGGAGCGGUGAAAUGUGUUGAUAUCGGUGGGAACGCCAGUGGCGAAAGCGGCAGACUGGACCCUUCCUGACGCUGAGUGCGCGAAAGCUAGGGGAGCAAACGGGAUUAGAUACCCCGGUAGUCC
rnacentral:rRNA from 1 species